CACUUUUUAAUUAUAUUUUAUAUACCGCCGUCUUGAAUAGACCUAAAAAUUUUAUUCUAAAAAAAAUUCUAAAAAUUUAGGUAAAGGUGUAAA
rnacentral:rRNA from 1 species